AUCAUAACGUAUACAUUGUACUUGUAGAUUAUAACAAAUAGAUAAGACAAUUUGGUAGCAUAAAGACUUGCGCUGUCAACUAAACAUGCUUACUGAUCCUAGAGACAUUGUGAAGAUUAUUGGACAUUGUAGGAUAACGGUAAUUAGCAGGUAAUUAGUCAACAAAACAUAGGCGGAUAUAUUAAAUAUAAUGAGCUGUCACCGGACACUCGAAUGGGAUAUGCCUUAUUUAGUUAAUUGAUGGGCAUGUCAUCACCUAAGGGGGGAUUUGUACAUAUAGCGUGCAAACAUAAUUGUUUAUUUAAUUGUUAGCUGUCCGGAAACGCAUAUUUGCAUUUAUGAAUUAUGAAGGUAUAAAGUUUAAGGCGUAUAAUAUUUUAGUAUUUUAAGGUAAGCAAAAUAUUAUAUUCUUGAGUGCAGUUUUUGAUGUUAAACAGACUGACUCACUUAGGUUAAAUUAUGCUAAAUACGCAGUUGACAUUGAUUCUUAUUGCUUUACGUAAUUGUUUAAGAAUUGUGAAAUUGUUAAAGACACCGGUUAAGCAAUUGUUUUAUCUUAUAGAAUAAUAUCUUAUAUUAAAUAAAUACAUAUAUCUGACGUUCAUAAACUUGAUAUUGUGUUGAUUUAUUAAUAUUUAGUUAUUCAGAUCUGGGCGUUACACUACAACAUAUAUGUUCACUUUAAUGGAAGCUGGAUUUCCUUGGGGUUAUAUAUUGCCAAGCAAAUACAUGUAUUAUUAUUUUAAUUGACUACAUAUGUAUUAAUUAAAUGUAUUGAUUAUUUAUGACAUUUGUUCCAUAAGACAGAAAUACUAGUAAAGCAGGUUCUCUUACAAUUCCUAUAAAUUACCAGACUCUUCAGAACUAUCAAUUUCAACAUUCAAGUUCUUUGCAAAUGUACUCCCAGCAGGCACUCGACAUUGUUUCAACGUUGACACAACGUUGAAAUAUGGUCGUGACGUUGUUCAACCAAUAUUCAACUAUGGACGACCAUACGGAUAUAUUGCCAAUGUAUAUACAACGUUGAUUCAACGUUGUUUAUGGUCGAAGUUUUACAUUUAGUUUAAUAAUUAUAUAAACUUUUAUACCACUAAUUUUGUGAUAUUAUUCCUUUAUUGAAUUAGUCUGUAACUGAUAUUUGUCAGGAAAAUUUGCGUUACAAUCUUUUUCCGUAUAUUCAAAAUUAGUGCUUAAACAAAUAAAGUUGGAAAUAAUUUUUCACUUCUAUUAACGCUUUAAAUAUUAGUUAAUAUGUUUUGUUGUUUGUUGUUUUAUUCUUUAGUUCUUUAUGAAUGAUAUUAUUUAAUAAAUUGGUAUUAGUCAAAACCCCGUUUAUAAAAUAACGCUGGUCAGGGGAAGUAAUUGUUGCGGUCUACGAUUUUGUUUGUUGGUCCAUGAUUAUCGUUCGUGCAAAUGGUGGCGCUGUUUGGAAAAUUUGAAAACAUCACGAUCGGCAAUUUAUUUAUAUUUCGAAGAUCCUGGUCUUGGAAAGAGUAUUGCAGCUGUAGCCUGUAUACCAUACAUUCGCUGUAGCCUGUAUACCAUACAUUCAACAUGAAAAGGACUGUCAGGAUGCUGCAUAAAAUGGUCUUAGCUAGAGCCUAGAAUGUUAAUUUCUUGGGAAUAUGCUGCAAGGAACUGACGGAGAGCAGUUUUUCUUACCAAUCAUAGAAGCAGUAAGAGACAGCCAAAGAAGUACUCAAACACUUGACAUACCCAGAAAGAUCAAGAAGAAAAGAUUGGAACAGAUUGUAGCUUAAUUGAUAAAACUAUUAAAGUGAAUUUAAGCUGCACAUGAACUGUAUUUUUGAAAUAAAAUAUCUGAA